rnacentral:lncRNA from 1 species
GGACUUCACUGAGAUCAACUGGAUUAUCAUCUGAUGCCUCCCACUUGAACUCAUGCAAUAAGGUGCCGACCCAAAAGGUAACAGUGGCUAAACCCAGUGUCUUUCCAGGGCAGCUCCUACGGCCAGACCCGAAUGGGGAUAGCCUGAGGUCAGACCCCAACACCGAGAACUCCACAUCAGCACUCUCCUUGGAUACGAAUCUCUCUGGCUUGAACUUAAGUGGGUCCACCCAAAAAUCUGGGUCCUUAGUGAUGGCCCACAUGUUAACCAUGGCUGUUGUCCCAGCAGGCACGUGAUAUCCAUCGACAGUAGUGUCUGUGAUUGCUAAACGGGCCCACGAUAGAAGUGGACCAGGCGGGUGUAGCCUGAGGACCUCCUUCACCACCGCCGGCAGGUAAACCAUCGAUUGAAUGUCUGAUUCCAGCAACGCCCAUGAUUUCCCAACGACUUGAUCAAGUUCGGCCUGGACCCUUGAUUGGAUUUCAGGGUGAAGCACCAUUCUCGCUAGUAUCCACUCUAUUAAAACCGCCACAGUAUCGGUUC